CCAAAGGCUCUUUCUAAGAGCCACAUACCAUACGUUUCUAAAAGAACU
rfam:Operophtera brumata OBRT01_Sc00063, whole genome shotgun sequence.